UGUUUAUGAAGAACAGCACUCUGGGUAUGAAGAUGCUGAGUUUCUUUCAGAAGAGCAACAAAUCACAGCAGAGAAUUAUGAUGAUAUAAUCACUGUUGGACUGACACAUCAUACUAGAGGUGACAUAUCGGAAAGCUAUGAUGAUGUCGUCAUCAUAAGACAACUCUUGAAUCAAAAAACAGCAGACUAUGAUUAUUUGAGGGAGGAGCCAGGAAAACAGGGAGGGACUAUUUAAGUCUGUGACCACACCCACUGCCUCACAUCAUAUUACAGCUUUUAGUUGCUCUUCAUUUAAAGUGUUGAAUGUACCAAAUGUUGAAUGUACCAAAUCAAUUACAUUUAGCCAAAGUUUGCUGUUGACACAUUUUUGAUACAUACAUCAAAACAAAUAUAGAACAAAUUCAUAAAACAGA